rnacentral:rRNA from 1 species
UACGGGGGGGGCAAGCGUUGUUCGGAAUUACUGGGCGUAAAGGGUUCGUAGGUGGCCAACUAAGUCAGACGUGAAAUCCCUCAGCUUAACUGGGGAACUGCGUCUGAGACUGGAUGGCUUGAGUGCAGGAGAGGAACGCGGAAUUCCAGGUGUAGCGGUGAAAUGCGUAGAUAUCUGGAGGAACACCGGUGGCGAAGGCGGCGUUCUGGACUGCAACUGACACUGAGGCACGAAAGCUAGGGGAGCAAACAGG